AAUGUGGCCAUAGAUGUCGUUUAUGAGAAGGAAAUGCUAGGACAGUUUACUAACAUAUCCUGCGUCCACGAUUUCGGAACAUGUCAUUAUGAAGAUCCAUGCCACUUCUUGAACGUCUUUAAAGAUGACUCGGGGUGUUCCAAGCAAUUAUCUGGUAAUGGUCUACCAUGUACCUGUCCAUUUAACCCAAUGGCGAUCGAUCUUCCACCAAGUACAUUUACAGUCAACAAACGCACCGACUGGUGGUCUAUGAUCUUUGCUAAUGGAACCUACCACAUUAAGAUCAUUUUGACAGAGAAAGCGACAUCUAAAGUUCGUGGUUGUCUUGAAGUAUAUUUAAAUAUUGCUAGAGGAUAAACAAAA